rnacentral:tRNA from 1 species
GCGCCCGUAGCUCAAUUGGAUAGAGUGUUGGCCUCCGAAGCCAAAGGUUGUGGGUUCGACUCCCGCCGGGCGCACCA